rnacentral:rRNA from 1 species
UGCAGUCGAGCGCCCCGCAAGGGGAGCGGCAGACGGGUGAGUAACGCGUGGGAAUCUACCCAUCACUACGGAACAACUCCGGGAAACUGGAGCUAAUACCGUAUACGUCCUUCGGGAGAAAGAUUUAUCGGUGAUGGAUGAGCCCGCGUUGGAUUAGCUAGUUGGUGGGGUAAUGGCCUACCAAGGCGACGAUCCAUAGCUGGUCUGAGAGGAUGAUCAGCCACACUGGGACUGAGACACGGCCCAGACUCCUACGGGAGGCAGCAGUGGGGAAUAUUGGACAAUGGGCGCAAGCCUGAUCCAGCCAUGCCGCGUGAGUGAUGAAGGCCCUAGGGUUGUAAAGCUCUUUCAACGGUGAAGAUAAUGACGGUAACCGUAGAAGAAGCCCCGGCUAACUUCGUGCCAGCAGCCGCGG